AAUCAAUCAAUUGUCUUCUUUACUUCCGUAUUUAUUUAUGCGUUUCACCUCGCUAUCUAUCUACUUCUAUAUAAACCGGUUCCUCGAAGCUUGCUGCCAUUCGAUUGAGCAAAGAGAUUCAGGCUUCGUUCUUUGGAAAAUUUUGAUGCUGAUUGCGAUAACAGAGAAAUCUGUGAUGGUGCUAAGUGGCUCACGGGGAUUCUGUUACACAUUGGAAUUGAAAAAUGAGCAAGAAGCAAAACAAAUGAAGAAGAAGAAGAUUAGAACUCACUUUCAUGCUAUUUUGUUAACUGGCGGUUGUUGAGUAAUGGUAACUGGGGGUUGUUGAAUCAUGGUAUUAGUGUGAUAUGCAUCUUUCUACGUAUUAAUGAAUGUUCUUUAUUUUCUUUGUUAGACUGGAAACCGUUUCAUGGAUAGAGGCGUGAGCAAGGUAACUUUGGCUAACUGUUUGCGUUGGUAAUAUAUGGUUUUUUUUUUCUUGAACAACAAAACAUAUGGUUAUCUAUGUAGAUUUUAGUCUAUAUUCUUUUAACUGCUGUUGCUUUCUCCCUCUUCAGGAGUUGAAAACCCAAUAGCUUCUGCAACCCUAGCUGGUGAUUUAGGAAUUGGGGCUGAACAGCUUCUGCUGAUGUGAAAAGAUCACACCUUGCUUCUCUGCAGUAAUGUAGAAGGUACGUUCUCUGGUCUCUUUGUUGGCUUUUCUGUAUUUUAUCAUUUUGGUCUGCACUAUUGUUUUUGUUUGUGGAAGAUUCAGGGUAAAUGAUGAUGAUUUGCUGAAGAUCAAGAACACUUAUCGUCCUAUCCUCUCAAGAAAGAGAAAGGGUUUAUGGUAUGUAUAUAAAGUCAAUAAUAUUGUUACAAUUCAAAAGCAAAUAUAAAGUCAUUGUUUAUAAUUUGAUCAAAAUCGUCAUGUUUCACUAUGAUAAUAGAAAAGGUAGGUAAUUUCCUUUUGUUUACCUUUUAAUCAUUCUUGCAUAUUAUUGAGCUUUUCGAAUAACUCAGCUAUGGCGUUCCAAAUCUUAGUCAAUCACUCAAUCUCCCGUAGUAGCCAUCAAAGGCAAGAUAGAAAUAGCUUUGGGUUAGGUCGCAAAACUCAAAGAAAAAAAGAAACAAAGCUGGAGAAACCUAAAACGCUUUCACUGGGAGAUUGGAAGAGCAUAUGUCCACGAAUAACUGCUUAGGCAAUUGUAAAAAUAUUUAGAGUAAUACAAAUCACAUUUGUAUUUCCUACAAGAAGAUUAGUUAAGUCUAUCCUGCGGCCACUUCCUCAUUUAUUGUUAUCUUGAUUUUCUUUAUGAUAAAACCAUAGCUACCUCUUUUAUUUUUCUUUUAAUUUACUUAAUAUUUAGUUUGAUUGUAAACUUUUCUAUUGACACAGACUAAAAGAAAGACAGUUAAUUAAAAUAGAAGCAUUUUAUCUAAACAAAGCAGAAAUGACAAAGCCAAGUUUUAAUUUAUUUAUUUCACAAUUAUCAUUCCUCUUCUUGAAAAUAUCUAAAAUAAUAUACCUCGAAAAUCACAUGUGUCGUAAUGUCACUUCUUAUCGUAUCUAAAUUAAUCUUAACUUGCGUGAACAUCAACUUCAACCCAUCAAACUAUAUUAAACAAAAAUCAUUAUAUUAAAAAGAGACCUGACAACGCGUACACAAAU